UUUAGGAGAGCUGUAAUGGGGUUUAUGUAAGAAAAGUCCAGAACUUAGAAACUUCCUGACUGUAUAUUAUCUUUUCCGCAUUUAGAGUGUCAGAUUCUUCACAGUCCUUGUAUAAAUGACCACUUUUGGAUCUCCUUCCUGCUCAGUGUGGCUUCCUGAUCUUACAAAGUAUUAAUAUCACUGCAUGUACUCUCCUUUCCUCUUGGAAUGAUUUGUCAAUAUGUCCAUGGAGAUGUGUCCAUAUACCCAUGGUGGUGCCCAGAUCUCAAUUUAAUAG